rnacentral:rRNA from 1 species
GACGAACGCUGGCGGCGUGCUUAACACAUGCAAGUCGAACGGAAAGGCCCUGCUUUUGUGGGGUGCUCGAGUGGCGAACGGGUGAGUAACACGUGAGUAACCUGCCCUUGACUUUGGGAUAACUUCAGGAAACUGGGGCUAAUACCGGAUAGGAGCUCCUGCUGCAUGGUGGGGGUUGGAAAGUUUCGGCGGUUGGGGAUGGACUCGCGGCUUAUCAGCUUGUUGGUGGGGUAGUGGCUUACCAAGGCUUUGACGGGUAGCCGGCCUGGGAGGGUGACCGGCCACAUUGGGACUGAGGUACGGCCCAGACUCCUACGGGAGGCAGCAGUGGGGAAUAUUGCACAAUGGGCGGAAGCCUGAUGCAGCAACGCCGCGUGCGGGAUGAAGGCCUUCGGGUUGUAAACCGCUUUCGCCUGUGACGAAGCGUGAGUGACGGUAAUGGGUAAAGAAGCACCGGCUAACUACGUG